rnacentral:lncRNA from 1 species
UACCAGAAUGGCAAACAAAGAAUGUCCUGCAAAAGAAAAAUGGUCUUGAAACAAGAGAAUUGUGCUCUGCUCUAGAAUUUCGAGGUGAAAAAUACCGUCUAUGUCUUUGCUACCUUAGUGUGCCUGGCUGAGCAGCAGCAGCAACAGCAUUAGACUAUUCAAAAUGCAGAAUUUCAGGGCCCUGCCUCUGUAUUUCUCAACCAGAAUCUGCAUUUGGACAAUAUCCUCUGUGAUUCUUAUGCUGUUGAAGAAACCAGGACCCGGAGGACUCACAGACAGAAGAAAGUCUAUUAUGACCACGAGAUGGGGGCAUUCUGAGUACAAGAUGCAGUUGUCUUUUGAAAAACGAAAAUGGCUCCCUAUAAGGCAAUCAAAAUGAGAACUUAUUGCCAGAUGACCUACUUCACAAGAAAGUCAGUAAGUUUUC